GGGAUUCCCAGGUGCUUCUGCUUGCUGAUCAGGACUGCACAGAGAACUCACCAUGGAGUUUGGGCUGAGCUGGGUUUUUCUUGUUGCUAUUUUAAAAGAUGUCCAGUGUGAGCUGCAGCUUGUGGAGUCUGGGGGAGACUUGGUACAGCCUGGGGGAUACAUGAGACUCUCCUGUGCAGCCUCUGGAUUCACCUUCAGUAACUACUGCAUAAGCUGGGUCUGCCAGGCUCCGGAGAAGGGGCUGGAGUGGGUCUCACGUAUUAAUAGAGACGGGAGUAGCACAUACUAUGCAGACUCCAUGAAGGGCCAAGUUACCAUCUCCAGAGAAAAUGCCAAGAACACGCUGUAUCUGCAAAUGAACAAUCUGAGAGCUGAGGACAAGGCUGUGUAUUACUGUAUUAGAAGCACAGUGAGUGUGAACCCAGACACAAACCUUCCAGCAGGGGCAUCCGAGACCAUGAGGGGUGUCCAGAGUCCUGUUAACUGGGUUAUUCUCCGUGGCAGGGGCUGGUGGUGCUAA